AAAGAAGGGAUAACAGCAGGUGAGCAUAUGAAAUCCUCAGUGUGAACCUUGGGGGGGUUUACUUGGAAAAGGGGUAGCGAGAAAUUGCAGAAUCUAGGGGAGACGCCUCCAUUAUCAGUUCUUUUCUACAGGCGUUGUUUUUACCUAACCCUACCAUUUGCCGAUCUUCCAUUUAGGGUUUUUCGCUUUAAGCGAAGAACAGUGUAAAUAGUAUCCCUAUCCCUAUCCCUCCGAUGCACCAAGGGAAUUGAAAAUAGAGUAAAAAAAAAAAAGAGGUGAAAAAUUUGUCUGUAUUAAAUAGGUAAUUCUGUUGUUUUGCAUGUUUGUCCACUCAGGAGCAGAGCUGUUCGGGGAAAAAGCAUGUACAGUAUGAUCACUAAAUGCAGUGCUGGGGAUUGCCAAAUAUUCUUGAUGUCACGGUCUUCACCAAUGGCACCACAGUUUCUUUGAAACUGCUCAAGGUCUAGAUUUCUAUUUACUGCUGCACCUGAGCUUUUUAUAUUUAAGCGUGUCUAUAGAUAUUGGUCUAGUAGAUAGAAAUGGAAGCAAAAAUCGCAAAGGCAUUGGAUAGGGUUGCGCCCAAUCUGAAACGCAAGCGAGCGACCCGAUAUGCUGCACUUUUUAGUGGAGCUUCACAAUCAAUUUUGGGCCAUUGGCCAUCGUGUGUGUCCCCAACGAGCAGGGUUGCCAAACGGAUGAGAUUUGGUGGAUGUAGAAACAAGUUGACAAAUGCUGGUCCUCAUAUUGGGCAGUCCUUAGUUAGGCGUUUUUCAAAUUAUAAAAAGAGUGGGAGACUGGAGCGUUUGAUGUUCUAUAGGAAUGGUGAAUGGCUUGACCUUCCUAAGGAUGUUGUCGACUUGGUUAAGAAGGAUCUUGAAGUCAAGAAGGUAGCUGUGGAGAUAGAGUUAAAUGGGUAUCAUCUUGUAUUUGAUUUUUUACAUCUGCACAAGGUGGACUUGAAAACUGGCUUGCAACAACCUAUAGCUUGGAUUGAUGAUGCAGGUCACUGUUUUUUUCCAGAAGUCUAUACUUACUCUGACGAGGAACCUUACAAUACCAAUGAACAGGAAAAUGGAAAAAGUCCCGACUCAUAUGCAUCUAAUGAAAUAAAGCUACAUUUAGAAGUUGAAAUCAAUGGAGUGGAUGAAUCCAGAUUGAGUGAGUGUAGUGGGGAGUCCAAUGCUCUAGUUAAGGGUAUUCAAAUUGAUACUAAACAAAAUUAUUGUCAAUAUGAUGUAGAAGUUGAAGAUAGCAUUAACAAACAGGACUGCAGAAAUGUUGGUGAAGCUAUUCAGCACAAUCAAGGCAUAGGUUUAGAUGCUUAUACCGAAUCAAUAUAUGGAAAUUUGGAUUUAAAUUCUGUACAAAAGAUGUUUCUCAAGGGAAUGAGUAGUUUUGGCAGUUCUGAUUCCGACAUAUCUGAGAUUUACCACUGCUCAGGUGCGUCAAUGCAAGCUCGAUGGGAGCUUUUCCAGAAGCAAGCUGAAAUCACAAAAAAAAUUCAUGGGGAAGCAAACAUUCGGUAUGCUUGGCUUGCUUUUUCUAAAAGAGAUCUGUCUACAAUGAUGGAGUAUGGACUUGGUCAUUGUGGACUAUCUGGACCAAAGUGCACAUAUGGCAUUGGUGUUCAUCUUGCUGCUGCUUCCUGCCCUGAUGCCAGUGUACGUUAUUGUGAUGUUGACGAAAAUGGGGUUCGACACUUGGCCCUCUGUCGUGUAAUAAUGGGGAACAUGGAGAUUCUCUGUCCUGGCAGUGGUCAGUUUCAACCCAGUAGUUGUGAAUAUGAUAGUGGGGUGGAUGAUAUUCAGUGUCCGCGAUACUAUGUUGUAUGGAAUAUGAACAUGAACACCCAUAUCUAUCCCGAAUUUGUUAUUAGCUUCAAGGUCCCUUCUGAUGCUGAAGGUCAUUUUUGUGGACAUAAGGUUAAUACAGCCUCUCGCAGUCCUCUUGGCCUCUCGGAGACAUCCGCAAUAGAUAAUGGAAAAGCUCAUAGUGUAGUUGCUAGCACUCCAAAAGUCCCGAAAUCCCCUUGGAUGCCUCUACCUGUGCUUUUUGCUGCUAUCAGAAAUCAGGUUCCGUCCAAGGAUAUGAAUCAUAUCAAAACACAUUAUGAACAAUUCAGGUCAAAGCAGAUAUCCCGGGAUGAUUUUGUGAAGAUGCUGAGGUUAAUAGUUGGAGACGCUCUGUUGAGAGCUACAAUAAAUGAUCUUCAAUACAAGAUACCUUCUAACGGGGGAUUAGAUGACUCAAUCAAGAAGGAAGGCUAAGGCUGUUUUCCUAAUGGAAGAUGAAGUUAUGGAUUUAUUUUCAAAAGAAAAUUACAACUUCAGAGGUUGGGUUGAAGUUGACUCCUUGAGGUCAGAUUUUUGUUGAAAGGGUUGUUCUUCAGAUCAUCGUUGCACUCUUCUAUUCAAUUCAUCGUUAGGUUCCGUUCACAUGGCAUGCGAAAUCAUGAUGAAGAAAAAAUUUGGAGAAUGUACAGAGAUUGCAUUUAAGCAACAGUUUGCAAUGCUAGACUCAUUUUUGAGAGAUCAUAGGAAUGCAUGGGCAAUUCAAGUUUUGAACCAGCUCCCUAAUGAAAACCCUAUUAAAGUUUAUUCAGUUUCAGUUCAAGAUAAAUAUAGUAAAGUAUGAUCAUUCCGCAGAUUCUAGGUUGUUUAAGGUGUGUUUGAAUUAAUGUUAUAUUGGGUGUAUCAUUCAGUUGAAGGUACUUGAAACUAUUUUAAGUUAAACAAAUACAUUUAGUAGUGAGAUAAGGAGUCAUUAGCAUUUAAUAGGUGGCUCAGAAAUAGUGAACAUGAACAGUGUUAUUAUCUAGUUAGAUUGUAAAGUGGUGGAAGAGAGAAUUGUUGGCAACUGAG